UACUGAUCUCGGUUGUCAGUGUUCAUGUCUCCUCUUCACCCACGAGCUCUACUACUGAUAGGGAUUGUUGCUCCCCACUCAUCUCAAUUAAACAAUUCGUAUCGGCAUCAAACCGGAAGUAGUUUCCCUUGUAACGAUGGCCCGAUACGAAUUUAUCAUCGCAAUAAUAGCACAAUCCUCUGGCAGCUCUGGCCUUCUUUUCUUCAUAAGUGGGUGGCUUACGGUAGCCCGGAUUGGGCUUAUUGCUCGGUAGUACUGGAGUGUUUGGAGUUUUCAGCAGUACUGGUGCCGAUGAGUUCGUCAAAUUUGGCCGAUAAUUGCUCCGACUGACCGGUAUCGUCAGUGCCGUCGACCCCUUUCCCAC
rnacentral:lncRNA from 1 species